rnacentral:rRNA from 1 species
UACGUAGGUGGCAAGCGUUGUUCGGAUUUAUUGGGUUUAAAGGGUGCGUAGGCGGUGUUCUAAGUCAGUUGUGAAAUACUUCAGCUUAACUGGAGAGGUGCAAUUGAUAUUGGGAUACUUGAGUACUGAUGAGGUAUGUGGAAUGGAUGGUGUAGUGGUGAAAUGCUUAGAUAUCGUCCAGAACACCGAUAGCGAAGGCAGCAUACUAAGGAGUAACUGACGCUGAGGCACGAAAGUGUGGGGAUCAAAC